GAUUAUUGCAAACAACUGGAACAACACCGAUUAGAAACUACCAUGCAAAGCAAAAUUCGUGUCUAUGAGAGUGGGCGAUCAGAGCAGGAUUAUGAUCCAGAUUUGCCACCAGAAUUGGCAGCGGCAACAGGUAUUCAUGAUAUUCGAGUGGACAAUUCAAAUCUUGGGAAGUCAGAUGUUGGACAAAGUGAUUUAACAAAAGGAGCUGCUCGCAUACGGCCACCAUUACCAACUGGACGGGCGAUACAAGUUGAAGGAGGUUAUGGUGAACGUCUCCCAUCUAUCGACACUCGACCGCCUCGAAUUCGUGAUUCUGAUGCAAUCAUUGA
rnacentral:misc_RNA from 1 species